GGAGUGUUCCUCUUUCUCCACAGAGGAUGCUCAUAUUACUGCUGACCAGGAAGCGGGGAGCAUAGGAUCAGAUCAGCAGCUUCCCCCACCCCUAUAAGAUCUCUAACCCCCUGAAGCAGCUCUCCUGGCUGGGAAUAAACCCUCUAAGCAUGAACCCCUGGUCUGCUUACAUUUUAGAUUUAGACCAUGCAUUGUUUAAACAAAGGUCUUCUUACAAGAGAGCACUCCCUUUAAUCACAUCCCAUUUCUAUGUGAACACAGUGAACAUGCAUGCAGUGGACCUUCAGAGUGCUUUCUUGUUAAAGUCAUUCUUCUAAUCAAAUUGUACUGCCGUUGGCUGUACUGAUGUUCUCCUGGAGGGAUGGGGCACUUUCAUGCUAUGAAAGCGUCUUCUAAAGCGGCAGUCAAGAGAAUGAUUUUAUUAGCUAGAGAACAGGCUCUAGUUUCUGAAAAACUUAUGACAAUAUUCCGUUUAAAUCAGCUGUUUUUUACACCUUUGGGUGGUAUCCAAAACAGAAAUAAAUAAUAAUACUCAAACUGGAAAACAUCUUUAUCUAUUAAUGCCCCAAGAAUCGAAUAAAGGCUAUCUUCCUCUCUAUGAAUGAACCCCUCUGGGAAUCAACAAUGGAUGAUAAAUUUAGCCAUUACUGAAGUGUGUAUAUUGCUUCCUCUCACACUUUGAUGUGUUUUUUUAUGUCCGAUUAUUUUACAUAUUUUAAAACUCCAAAUAAGACAGAAGUGGUAUUGCAGGCUUUUAACUCCAUCACUUGGAGGAAGAUGUCCGUAGAUGUCUGAGUUCAAGGGCAGCCUCAUCCACACAGCAAGUUACAAGGCAGGCAUAGUCACAUGUUGAGAUCCAGGCCUAGAAAAUGGUUUACAAUGAUUUCUUGCACAUAUGAAAUGUCAUUUUAAAAUAUGAUUACAUGAAGCGUAAGGUGAUAUUUUAUGUCUGGAUACAUUGUGGAAGAAGUAAAUUAACACAUUCUCUAUCUCCACUGUUCUCCUCAGAGUAUGGCUGGCAGAUGGACUUACCCAGAACAUUAGAAAAUGUCUACUUCUGGGCCCUUUACUUCUCUUGUGUGGUGAACCUAAAACGUCCUACACAAACACAGUGAACCCAUUAUUUGUGGGAAAAUCAAGAGUGGUGUUAACAAAGAAGGUGUCAAUCAAUAGGUUCUGAGAAAGGCCCAUGUCAGGGCAGAUGCUUGGAAUGGUAUUAUGCCACUCUCACUGGAGAGUGACUAUUUUCCAGUCAUUUACGGAAACCACUCUAGUGAGGUGAUGUUAGCAUUAUGGAGUUUAGCAAGAUGGUGUUUUCAAACUUUUGAAACCUUGAUAUUGGAUCUACAGCUCAGACGUCAGCAAGCACAGCAGUCAGUGUGAAUGGGACUCUCUACAGUCAUGACAGUCCCCAGCCAUGGCGCCUUUCCCCCUGCUGCCUCCUGCCUGUAGGUAUGAACCUCCUGCCUGGGGCAUCAUCUUGAACACUUUGCUCCUGAAAACCACUAGGCUAAUGCAGUAGAGAAGACUUUCUUCUUGCAAGGUCUCAACAGGAAUCCCUUUAUGCUCAUAGCAUCCUUUGGACAUACCUGGAUUGCAACACAGCUUGUGUGCUGUUAUAUUCACAGCCUCUGCAAAUUAUCAGCAACUUGAAGCCAGGUUCUGGUCCUUUUUUAAAUCUCUGUCACUCUCAUAUCUUGAAUAAUGCCUGGUAGGUAGAGACACCCUCAAAAUAUCUGUGCUGAAUGGGCAAACGAAAGAAGGAGCAACUGAUACAUCCUUAGCUGGGCAGGAAGGAGAAUGAGGUGGGUGGACAGACAUGCUGCGCAUGCUCACGCCAGUGAUUCCCAAAGAAGAGAGGCAGGAAAAAAUGGAAAGACAGACUGAAGGAUUCUUCCAUCUGGAGUUUAAUUCAUUCUGAGCACCAAGGAAUGAAAACAGCCUGAGGUGCCCAGUGGCAGCAGACUUUGUAAAGAACAGCUGCUGGAUGAAGCAAUUAUUCCUGGAACUUCCAAGUCGUAACCUCAGAUCCACAGGACCUGAAAAUCUGCCAUGGAUACACCGGGCCAGCAGUGAUGAAGGUCUCCAUAUUCCUAUAGGCAAAACCCUCUGCCUUGGUCCACCUGGAAGUACAGCCUGUCUGUCAGCUCAACCCACCAUGCUACAUCUUCAAGCAUCCCAGCUUUCCUAAGCCAAAGAAUUACCAAGAACAUAUUGGUAUCAGCAUACAGAGGUGUGUUGGUAUGAAUGUGUCCUAGAAAUGGAGGAAACCCACAAAGGAGGAACGGGAUGGCACGUGUGCACGCUACUGCAGGAGGUGAGAGUUCAUCUCAGCAUGCAAGAUCCUCCUGGAGCCCUGCUGCACUUGGAAUCUCCUGCAUGCCCCAACCUCUGGGUGAGGCAUCCUGAAUCAGGCACAGCUUGGGGAAUGUAUUUUAGGCUAUCUUAGUUCCCUGUAUUUUCUGAUUGGGAUCAUGGAAUAGAUUCUGAAAACAAAAACAACAACCACUAAAUCCUAACCUAUUGAAAGGCAGACUAUGAAACUUUUCUGCAGAGUUAGGAAGUCUGACAGUUAAGAUUUAGUUCACAGUUCUCUGUUGGACGGAGAGUGUGGGUAGAUUUCACACAGAGAAGGGGAGCCUAGGGAGGGGGACAGUCUCCCAUAGAGCUAGCAGCACAGUGCCUUGGCCUCAGCCUUGCAGUCAAGGAGUCUUAGAGCAAAUGUGUUAACAUCUUGCAGGUACAGAGAAGUCUACAUGGUGUGGUGAGGCCAGCCCUACCCCCAGGGAGUAAGAGCAAAGCACUCUGGGAGAAUGGACAUGCUGGCAUCUGCCUUCAUCAUCUGAGGCAUUUAGGUUUUUAUUAU
rnacentral:sRNA from 1 species